rnacentral:rRNA from 1 species
UACGUAGGGUGCUAGCGUUGUCCGGAUUUAUUGGGCCUAAAGCAUCCGUAGCCGGUUCUACAAGUCUUCCGUUAAAUCCACCUGCUUAACAGAUGGGCUGCGGAAGAUACUAUGGAGCUAGGAGGCGGGAGAGGCAAGCGGUACUCGAUGGGUAGGGGUAAAAUCCGUUGAUCCAUUGAAGACCACCAGUGGCGAAGGCGGCUUGCCAGAACGCGCUCGACGGUGAGGGAUGAAAGCUGGGGGAGCAAACCGG